rnacentral:rRNA from 1 species
GCGGUGGAUGAUGUGGUUUAAUUCGAUGCAACGCGAAAACCUUACCCACCUUUGACAUGGCAGGAAUCCCGAAGAGAUUGGGAGUGCUCGAAAGAGAACCUGCACACAGGUGCUGCAUGGCUGUCGUCAGCUCGUGUCGUGAGAUGUUGGGUUAAGUCCCGCAACGAGCGCAACCCUUGCCAUUAGUUGCUACGAAAGGGCACUCUAAUGGGACUGCCGGUGACAAACCGGAGGAAGGUGGGGAUGACGUCAAGUCCUCAUGGCCCUUAUAGGUGGGGCUACACACGUCAUACAAUGGCCGGUACAGAGGGUAGCCAACCCGCGAGGGGGAGCCAAUCCCACAAAGCCGGUCGUAGUCCGGAUCGCAGUCUGCAACUCGACUGCGUGAAGUCGGAAUCGCUAGUAAUCGCGGAUCAGCAUGUCGCGGUGAAUACGUUCCCGGGUCUU